CAGCAGCAGCAGCAGCAGCAGCAGCAGCAGCAGCAGCAGCAACAAGAACAUUCAAGAGAGAAAAUCUCUGAGCAGUGGGAGAACUAUCCAUAGGAACUGCCUACACACAGGAAGCGUCAUCAUGAUCAUGCCAAUGACCCAGGCGAAUGACGACGACAAUCCAAAUACAUCACCUGUACAGGCUGGACUACAUACUGGUCACGUGGCUGAUCGGACAAACAACUGAUGUACGGUUCCAUCACGUGAUCCAAGUAGAACAAGUAGGCGCAGAACCUCCAUGGAGUAGACUAGGGGAAGCUGUGCCCACAAACUCUCAACAACACCGCAGUUUAACUGAGACUUGAGCGAUGGCAUGGUCAGCUGACAUGCAACGAUGGCUGAUGGAGAUCGCACAAGACUCAACUCCUAGAGGAAGAUCUGGAGGCAAUUAAUGACUGCCGACAGGAAAGAACCAGCCUUCCCCAAGGAUGCGCCCCCGAUUGGUUAUCCAAUACUAAGUGCUUAGCUCUAAAAAUUGUGUCCAUAUAAGCAGCACUAAAUGGACUCAUCUGGUGGUGUUUAUACAUAACUCAUUCUAUAUGCGUAAUAAUAAUAAUAAUGAAAGAAAGAGAGGGAAUUGAUCUGGAAAGAAGUCAAGGGGAUUAGGAGGAAAUGUGAACAUUGUGUACGUAUAUGAAAUCUAAGUCAGAUGUUAGGAUAUUUGUCAUGUUUCUCUACUUCUCUGUUAAAUUGUGAGACUUAUAAUUAUAUCCAGGUAGUUGGUAGGCACAAUUAUAUAAAAGUAACAUUCAUUAAAUACUAAUAUAUAGAAAA